rnacentral:rRNA from 1 species
CUCCUCCUGUGGAUUCACUUCAUCAGCCGGUCCAUGCCGAACCUCAACGCUCCACUGGUGUCCUCUCUUUCUGAUCGGUGGAGGCUGGAGACACACAGUUUCCAUCUUCAGACUGGGGAGAUGACCGUGACGCUCUAGAAUGUCUCCUUGAUCACCGGUCUUCCUAUCGACGAGAGGCCUCUAUGUAUGAGCACCAAUUCUGAUGGGUGGCGCUAG